UCAGAACCUGCUCACAAAAUGAAGUGCUGCUUGCUGCAAACACACGCUCAGCAUUUGUUCCCUGGGACCUACACCCGCACUAAGGAAGGCACAGGCAGCAUUCACAAAGGAUGUGGGCAGGUAUCUCUGCCUUGGAGAAGACCGCAGAAGCGACUGUGCCGGCUCUUCCUACGAUACAUGAAAAAAUAGCGGGCACCUGAAGGUCAGCACCAUAUUAAUUUGGUAUUACGGGGUACAGAGACACCACGGGGAUGAAUAACACAAACAAGUCUGCACAAGGGGGCUGGAAUCCACCAAGCGGGGAAUUGGUCCCUCAGUUCCUGGCUACCAGAACACUCCCUGCUUUCAUCCUUCUCCCAGGAUCUGAUCUGCUUCUGCAAAAGCACAAAUGCUUCAAUUUCUUCCUAACUUUCUCUCUGUAAACUUCUAAUAUUUUUCCAUUAGCUUUACAGUUUUAAAGUUUAUUUGCUCUAGAAGGGUAAAAUUAUGUGCUUCUUUCGUUAUAUUCUCUGAUAUGAAAACAAAAUAUUUCACUUUGCUGCUAAUUAAUCACUUUGUUACCACAGACAAAAUUUAGUGUUUCAUUAAAAAUAAAAGCUGGGAAAAUGUCAUAAAUGCCUUUGUAGCCCUCAGAGUCACAAUAUACCUCUUGGAAUAAAAUGGUAAUACAUUUAGAUCAGAUGGUGGUGUCCACAAUUUGGUACUUUAUGGGACAAAAUGUGCAAAUAGACCUUUUUUUUUUUUUUUUUUCUCAAAAGAGGUCGUCUUUAUGAUGCUCUUUGUGCAUGGAGAUAGGGGGGCACUGGUCAGCAGAGGCAGCUCCUCUGAGAGACCCUGGGGAGGGCUGCCAGCCGCAGCAGUGUAAGCACACGGCUUCUGAAAUAACGCCUCCAGCCCGCCUCAGCAAUACCCCUACGCUCAUUAGUACAACAAAGGAAUCAUUUCCAAAUGUGGUAUAAAUAGCUAGGAUUACACAAAGCCUGCCUGUAUUCCAGCCUUCAUAACACAGCACUUUGUCAGUCACUUGCAAAACACACCUGUGAGUGUCAUCAGGCACAAGCUCAGUAAAAGCUGACUGUGUUUUCUCCAGACAACUCAGGAGA